GUCUUUUUGAAUAUUAUUUAAGGUUUGAUCUGCCCACUGAUUUUUUAAAGGCUGCAGUAUUUUGACUGUACAAAGGUAGCAUAAUAAUUAGUUUUUUAAUUGAAAGCUGGUAUGAAUGAUUUGAUAAGAAAAGUACUGUCUCUUUUUUAUUAAUAGAAUUUUAUUUUUGAGUUAAAAAGCUUAAAUUUUAUUAAAAGACGAGAAGACCCUAUAGAGCUUUAUAUAAAUUUAUAAUGUUUAUUUAUUUUUAUUUAUAUAAGUUAUUAAAAUAUAUUUUGUUGGGGUGACAGAAAAGUUUAUUUAACCUUUUUAUUAUUAUUACAAUUUUAGUUGAGUUUUUGAUCCUUUUUAGAUUAUUAGAUUAAGUUACCUUAGGGAUAACAGCGUAAUUUUUUUGGAGAGUUCAUAUCUAUAAAAAAGUUUG
rnacentral:rRNA from 1 species